GUUUGCGGCUGCUUAGCCUGUGUUCCACACUUCCCUUGGCGUUCUGGAAGAACUGGCAAUACUAUUUAGUAUUUACUCUCUCCUUUGUCCUAAACCAACAAAACCCAAAACUUUUCUCUAAUGAUCAUUAUGACGAUCUUACCCUGAAAUUACACCUCUGCCACUGGGCAUUUCAAUCUCUUGAAUCCAAUUGUUGUUUUCUCUUGUCAAAUUCUCUACUUGAAUCUGUUAGUCACUGUAAUUGGUGUCAUCGGGGAGUGUUUAUGGUGAUGGCGGAGAGUGAGGGUGGGGAUGAUCAGAAGGAGGUGAAUAGUGGUCCCAAGUCCCCCUGGAAGACUCCGGUGGUGGCCGAUGCUCCUGUGAUGGGCGCAGAGUCUUGGCCUGCUCUUGCCGACGCCCAUCACCAACAACGCUCCAAGAGUAUUGAUUCUGCUACAAAGCCGACUUCUGUUCCGUCUCCAACGCAGGGAUCAGUUGGGCAACACAAGUCAAAUGGUUCUGGAAACCCUAAUUCUUCACAUAAGUAUUCAUCAUCAAGACAUCAAAAAUUAGGCUCUAAGCGCAACCCAAAUGUUGCACCUCCUUUCCCUGUACCCUUUCCUUACCAGCAACCGACUUUUCCACCUGUUUUUCAUGCUAUGGUGCCUCCACCUCACAUUGCUGUUUCUGGAUAUGCUUACCAGCCUGGCCUUGCUCCUUUUCCUAGCAUUGAAACUCAUUUGGUAAAGUCUGGAUCUGAUUCUUCUACUGUCCAACCUUUUGUUCCGUCUGUUAAUGUUCAGACUCCACCAAGAGGGGAUCCCAAUGCUUUUGCUGUCAAUUUUUCAAAUAGAAGACCCAGUGUGCCAGAACCUGGUAGCCAUUUGAAUUAUGCAUGGCAUCAACGAGCAUUUAGCCCCAGAGAUAACAUGGCUUUGCAACAGGGUAUGGGACCAAGGCCUCUAGUCAGGCCUCCCUUAUUUGCUCCUGCUCCAGGCUUCAUGGUUGCUCCAACCUUCCCUGGACCACCUAUAUGCUAUGUUCCUGUUGCACCUACAGGCUCUUUCAGGGGAGGCCACCCUCCACGUUUUAUGCCAUAUCCUACUAGUCCAGGGGCUCCUCUCCUCCCCCAAGAAACACCGUCUUUGAGAGAGAGCAUAAUAAGACAAAUAGAUUAUUAUUUCAGUGAUGAAAAUCUGAAGACUGAUCAUUACCUAAUAUCCUUGAUGGAUGGCCAAGGAUGGGUUCCUAUUUCCACCAUUGCUGACUUUAACAGGGUUAAGAAAAUGACUACAGAUAUACUGUUUAUCCUUGAUGCACUACAAAGUUCAAGUACAGUGGAAGUUCAGGGUGACAAGAUUCGGAGACGUGAUGAGUGGUUAAAGUGGAUUCCAGCUUCUGCAGAAUAUACAUCAUCAUCAAAAACUCAGACUUCUGAGUCCCAACUUGUAAAUCCUGCUAAUGAAGACAAUGCAAGGGGUAUCUCAAAACAAAAUGUGGACUUUUCAUUACAUAAUAAUGCAGGUCUUGCGGAGCACACAUUGUCAAAUGGAGAGGCUCCGGAAAUAAUACAUAUAGGUACAAAGGAAGAUGAAAGUGCAUCUGUUCAUGCUGUAAAACAGGCAAUGGGUGGUGCCAAUGCAGAUCCAAAUGAAAAGUCAGUUGCUGACUUGAACAUUAAGCUUUCUUAUCUUGACAGCAGCUGCAAUGCUGCAUAUGUAGCCCAUUCUGAUGGAACUGAGCCUGCAGUUUCAAAGUAUCAUGCAGCUGAUGGCAUGGGAAUUUCAUUACAUUUGGCUUCGCAAAAUCUUGGUGAUCUGUCUAGUGAUUUUGCAAACACAUUUAUGCUUGAUGAAGAGCUGGAGCUUGAGCAGAAAACACAGAAGAGCGAUUGUGUGUGUCCAGUUAGAAGGAUUGAUGAUGAAGAAGAUGAGAUAUUGGUCAAUGAUCAGGAUGUUCAAAGACUUGUGAUUGUCACCCAGAAUAGCAGACCAAGUGAAGGAUUCAAAACUGGUGGUAAAGAUGCAAAAUCCAUUUCCAAGGAGCUUGCUUCUGCAAUUAAUGAUGGUCUUUAUUUCUAUGAACAGGAGCUUAAAACUAAGCGAUCUAAUCGCAGAAAGAAUAAUUCUAGUUUUGAGAACAGAGAUGGGAACUCAAGAUUUACAAAUAGUGCUCCAGGAGUAUCACAUUCAAAGACUGGUGAAAUUCCCACUGGAUGUGGUGGCCAUGAAGAGUCUGGAAGCACUACUAAUUUAAGGAAACACAGUAAAAGUUUUUCUAAGCAGCAAUCAUCUCAUAAGCAGCGCUUCUUCUCCUGCAACUUUAGAAAUCAUGGAACCGGCCGUAAUUCUUUUGGGAUCAUAUCAGAAAGUCCACCGAGUAAUUCAGUUGGAUUUUUCUUUAGUUCUACACCUCCUGAAAAUCAUGGUCCUAGGUCAUCAAAGUUGAGUGCUUCGCCACAUAGCACUCUGUCAGGCAGUAGUCCACCAGUGGGUUCCAUGCCAAAGUCAUUUCUCCCAUUCCAGCAUCCAAGUCAUCAGUUGUUAGAAGAAAAUGGCUUUAAACAGCAGAAGUACCUGAAGUUUCAUAAGCGGUGCCUAAGCGACAGAAAGAAAAUGGGAGUUGGUUGCAGUGAGGAAAUGAAUACGCUGUAUAGGUUUUGGUCAUAUUUCCUUAGAGAUAUGUUUGUUCCUUCCAUGUAUAAUGAGUUCCGGAAAUUAGCUCUGGAAGAUGCAUCUGCUAAUUACAAUUAUGGGAUAGAGUGCCUUUUCAGGUUCUAUAGUUAUGGUUUGGAGAGCGAAUUCAGAGAGGACUUAUACAAGGAUUUUGAAGAGCUCACUCUUGAGUUCUAUCAUAAAGGCAAUAUUUAUGGCCUUGAGAAAUAUUGGGCAUUCCACCAUUAUCGUGGGCUACGUGAGCACAAAGAACCACUAAAGAAACAUCCAGAAUUGGAUAGAUUGCUCAGGCAAGAGUAUUGCAGCUUGGAGGACUUCCGCACCAAAGAGAAGAAUGUAAAAGAGGAGAGUCAUUAGCUGGUAAUAAUGCAAAUCCCUGAUGGUGACAUCCUCCCAAUUUUGAAAAUCAAUUCUGAUAAGCAGGGAGAGACUUGGCUUAUAUUUUGUUGGAUGAGAAAAUUUGGUUUUUGUAUAUUGUAUUUUGGGGGAGUUGUCAUUUGCAUUAUAUUGUAUAUUGUUUUUCUUUUUUUUUAAAAGAAAUCUAAUUUUAGCCUGAUUAUUGUUUAUUGAUAUUAUCUUUCCCGUGUUCUGUUAUUACCUGUCUCAUUUUCUGCAGUUGUCAAUAUUUGUGCCUUCUGGAACACUGAUUUGGAUACUGGAUACAGUUUUGAUGUGAUUUUUUAUUUUCAUCAAUUUGAUUCAAAUUAGGAUUCAUGCUUG
rnacentral:misc_RNA from 1 species